rnacentral:rRNA from 1 species
GACGAACGCUGGCGGCGUGCCUAACACAUGCAAGUCGAACGGAAAGGCCCUGCUUUUGUGGGUUUCUUGUUUGCCGAACGCGUGAGUAACACGUGAGUAACCUGCCCCUGUCUUUGUGAUAACAUCACGAAACUGGGGCUCAUACCCGAUAGGAGCUCCUGCUGCAUGUUGGUCGUAGGUAAGUUUCGGCGGUUGGGGAUGUACUCGCGGCUUAUCAGCUUGUUGGUGGGGUAGUGGCUUACCAAGGCUUUGACGGGUAGCCGGCCUGAGAGGGUGACCGGCCACAUUGGGACUGAGAUACGGCCCAGACUCCUACGGGAGGCAGCAGUGGGGAAUAUUGCACAAUGGGCGGAAGCCUGAUGCAGCAACGCCGCGUGCGGGAUGACGGCCUUCGGGUUGUAAACCGCUUUCGCCUGUGACGAAGCGUGAGUGACGGUAAUGGGUAAAGAAGCACCGGCUAACUACGUG